UUGACCUCGGAUCAGGUAGGGAUACCCGCUGAACUUAAGCAUAUCAAUAAGCGGAGGAAAAGAAACCAACAGGGAUUGCCCUAGUAACGGCGAGUGAAGCGGCAAGAGCUCAAAUUUGAAAUCUGGCCCUCUCAGGGCCCGAGUUGUAAUUUGUAGAGGGCGCUUUGGCGUCGGCCCCGGCCUAAGUUCCUUGGAACAGGACGUCACAGAGGGUGAGAACCCCGUACGUGGCCGCCGGCCUUCGCCGUGUAAAGCCCCUUCGACGAGUCGAGUUGUUUGGGAAUGCAGCUCUAAAUGGGAGGUAAAUUUCUUCUAAAGCUAAAUACUGGCCAGAGACCGAUAGCGCACAAGUAGAGUGAUCGAAAGAUGAAAAGCACUUUGGAAAGAGAGUCAAAAAGCACGUGAAAUUGUUGAAAGGGAAGCGCUUGCAGCCAGACUUGCCUGUAGUUGCUCAUCCGAGCUCUCGCUCGGUGCACUCUUCUAUAGGCAGGCCAGCAUCAGUCCGGGCGGUCGGAUAAAGGCCUCGGGAAUGUAGCUCCCCUCGGGGAGUGUUAUAGCCCGGGGUGCCAUGCGACCAGCCUGGACUGAGGUCCGCGCAUCUGCUAGGAUGCUGGCGUAAUGGCUGUAAGCGGCCCGUCUUGAAACACGGACCAAGGAGUCUAACAUCUAUGCGAGUGUUUGGGUGUCAAGCCCGGGCGCGCAAUGAAAGUGAACGGAGGUGGGAACCCCUCGGGGCGCACCAUCGACCGAUCCUGAUGUCUUCGGAUGGAUUUGAGUAAGAGCAUAGCUGUUGGGACCCGAAAGAUGGUGAACUAUGCCUGAAUAGGGUGAAGCCAGAGGAAACUCUGGUGGAGGCUCGCAGCGGUUCUGACGUGCAAAUCGAUCGUCAAAUUUGGGCAUAGGGGCGAAAGACUAAUCGAACUAUCUAGUAGCUGGUUCCUGCCGAAGUUUCCCUCAGGAAA
rnacentral:rRNA from 1 species